rnacentral:rRNA from 1 species
GGGUGCGAUCAUACCAGUGUUAAUGCAUUGGAUCCCAUUAGAACUCCAUAGUUAAGCAUGCUUGGGCUAGAGUAGUACUGGGAUGGGUGAGCCCCCAGGAAGUCCUAGUGUUGCACCCU